UCUCGAUUGGUCUAGUGGUCAGGAUACCUGCUUGUCAUUCAAGCUUGGCAUCUACGAAAGUGGAUUCUAGAAUUCGCAGGUGGCCGGGGUUCGAUUCCCCGAUCGAGAG